rnacentral:rRNA from 1 species
AUCAUGAGUUCACAUGUCCGCAUGAUUAAAGGUAUUUUCCGGUAGACGAUGGGGAUGCGUUCCAUUAGAUAGUAGGCGGGGUAACGGCCCACCUAGUCAACGAUGGAUAGGGGUUCUGAGAGGAAGGUCCCCCACAUUGGAACUGAGACACGGUCCAAACUCCUACGGGAGGCAGCAGUGAGGAAUAUUGGUCAAUGGGCGAUGGCCUGAACCAGCCAAGUAGCGUGAAGGAUGACUGCCCUAUGGGUUGUAAACUUCUUUUAUAAAGGAAUAAAGUCGGGUAUGCAUACCCGUUUGCAUGUACUUUAUGAAUAAGGAUCGGCUAACUCCGUGUCAGCAGCCGCGGUAAUACGGAGGAUCCGAGCGUUAUCCGGAUUUAUUGGGUUUAAAGGGAGCGUAGAUGGAUGUUUAAGUCAGUUGUGAAAGUUUGCGGCUCAACCGUAAAAUUGCAGUUGAUACUGGAUGUCUUGAGUGCAGUUGAGGCAGGCGGAAUUCGUGGUGUAGCGGUGAAAUGCUUAGAUAUCACGAAGAACUCCGAUUG